rnacentral:rRNA from 1 species
GUCUACGGCUAUACCACGUUGAAAACACCGGUUCUCGUCCGAUGACCGAAAUUAACCAAGGUCGGGCCCGGUUAGUACUUGGAUGGGUGACCGCCUGGGAACACCGGGUGCCGUAGACA